AGACCCGAAACCCGGUGAUCUAGCCAUGGGCAGGUUGAAGGUUGGGUAACACUAACUGGAGGACCGAACCGACUAAUGUUGAAAAAUUAGCGGAUGACCUGUGGCUGGGGGUGAAAGGCCAAUCAAACCGGGAGAUAGCUGGUUCUCCCCGAAAGCUAUUUAGGUAGCGCCUCGUGAAUUCAUCUCCGGGGGUAGAGCACUGUUUCGGCUAGGGGGCCAUCCCGGCUUACCAACCCGAUGCAAACUGCGAAUACCGGAGAAUGUUAUCACGGGAGACACACGGCGGGUGCUAACGUCCGUCGUGAAGAGGGAAACAACCCAGACCGCCAGCUAAGGUCCCAAAGUCAUGGUUAAGUGGGAAACGAUGUGGGAAGGCCCAGACAGCCAGGAUGUUGGCUUAGAAGCAGCCAUCAUUUAAAGAAAGCGUAAUAGCUCACUGGUCGAGUCGGCCUGCGCGGAAGAUGUAACGGGGCUAAACCAUGCACCGAAGCUGCGGCAGCGACACUGUGUGUUGUUGGGUAGGGGAGCGUUCUGUAAGCCUGUGAAGGUGUGUCGUGAGGCAUGCUGGAGGUAUCAGAAGUGCGAAUGCUGACAUAAGUAACGAUAAAGCGGGUGAAAAGCCCGCUCGCCGGAAGACCAAGGGUUCCUGUCCAACGUUAAUCGGGGCAGGGUGAGUCGACCCCUAAGGCGAGGCCGAAAGGCGUAGUCGAUGGGAAACGGGUUAAUAUUCCCGUACUUGGUGUUACUGCGAAGGGGGGACGGAGAAGGCUAUGUUGGCCGGGCGACGGUUGUCCCGGUUUAAGCGUGUAGGUGUGUGUUCCAGGUAAAUCCGGUUCA
rnacentral:rRNA from 1 species